rnacentral:rRNA from 1 species
GACGAACGCUGGCGGCGUGCCUAACACAUGCAAGUCGAACGAAGAGCGAUGGAAGCUUGCUUCUAUCCAUCUUAGUGGCGAACGGGUGAGUCACGCGUAAUCAACCUGCCCUUCAGAGGGGGACAACAGUUGGAAACGACUGCUAAUACCGCAUACGAUCUAAUCUCGGCAUCGAGGAUAGAUGAAAGGUGGCCUCUACAUGUAUGCUAUCACUGAAGGCGGGUAUUGCGGCUGAUUAGCUAGUUGGGGGGGUAACGGACCACCAAAGCGAUGGUCAGUAGGCGGUCUGGGGGGAUGGACGGGCACAAUGGGACUGGGAACCGGCCCAGACUCCUACGGGGGGGAGCAGUGGGGGAUCUUCCGCAAUGGACGGAAGUCUGACGGAGCAACGCCGCGUGGAUGAUGACGGCCUUCGGGUUGUAAAGCUCUGUUAAUCGGGACGAAAGGCCUUCUUGCGAAUAGUGAGAAGGAUUGACGGUACCGGAAUAGAAAGCCACGGCUAACUACGUG